GACGUAGGGCGCGAGCGUUGUCCGGAUUUAUUGGGCGUAAAGAGCUCGUAGGCGGCUCAUCGCGUCAACCGUGAAAACCAGCAGCUCAACUGUUGGCUUGCGGUUGAUACGGGUGGGCUGGAGUUCGGUAGGGGAGACUGGAAUUCCUGGUGUAGCGGUGAAAUGCGCAGAUAUCAGGAGGAACACCGAUGGCGAAGGCAGGUCUCUGGGCAUUAACUGACGCUGAGGAGCGAAAGCAUGGGGAGCGAACAGG
rnacentral:rRNA from 1 species